AGGUCUUCUAACCACAGCAACCACCGCAGCUCCUCAGAGUUCUGCUGAUGUUUGCAAUCAUUUUAUUCCUUAUCUAUAAACGAGUCUCACAUUUAAAAAAUGCUGAAAAUGGAGCUGGAGCAUCGUAUGUCAA